CAGCCAUCAGAAAAAGUGAAAUCAUAUCUUUUGCAGCAACAUGGAUGGAACUGGUAGCCAUUGUCUUAAAUGAAACAACUCAGAAACAGAAAGCCAAAUAUCGCAUGUUCUCACUUAUAAGUGGUUAGUUUUCCCAUCAUCAUGGGAAGAAUAACACCUGCUUCACAGGGUUGUUUUGAAGGUGAAAUUAUCUGACAUAUGUAAAGUUGGUAAAGAUUUCUCUCUGGAAUAGUAUGAAAUCAACAUAAAUGCUUGCUAUUGUUACAAGCAACUUGAGGGGAAAAAUAAUACGUAUUAUUUACUUUUCUCUUCCUUUGUGUUCCCACAGUCUCCUCACUCUCCACAGCACAUAGUAGAGUCCAAGUUGCAGAGAUACUCAAUAAUUAUGUGUUGCAUUGAAUUAUUCUGGCUUGCUUUGGCCUUACUUUUUUUGUUUUUUUUGUGUG
rnacentral:lncRNA from 1 species